rnacentral:tRNA from 1 species
AGGCGUGUAGCUCCAAUGGUAGAGCACUGGAUUCCAAAUCCAGGUGUUGGGAGUUCGAGUCUCUCCACGCCUGCCA